rnacentral:rRNA from 1 species
UACGAAGGGGAGCUAGCGUUGCUCGGAAUCACUGGGCGUAAAGCGCACGUAGGCGGACAUCUAAGUCAGGGGUGAAAUCCCAGGGCUCAACCCUGGAAUUGCCUUUGAUACUGGACGUCUCGAGUUCGGGAAAGGUGAGUGGAAUUCCGAGUGUAGAGGUGAAAUUCGUAGAUAUCUGGAGGAACACCGGUGGCGAAGGCGGCAUCCUGGACCGGCAUUGACGCUGAGGCGCGAAAGCUGAGGGGAGCAAACGGGG